UGGCAGGCUUGGUAAUGUCUACUUGUUAUAUUUUUAUUAGGUUGUUGACUAUGCAAUGUUGACCGGCUAUCUGUGGGUGGAAUCUACUUGACCAUGCUUAAAUUUGACAAAUAUCCUGAGACUGAGAAAACACAAAUGAAGAAAUUUAGAAAAAAUGAUCUGUUAGGCAAUCCAGGAAUAAGUAAGUCAAAUGGAAAACAAAAGUUUGGUAGCUGAAGUACAAACUAAUAAAGGAAGGAACAUGACCAAGAAAGAAAGACAUCAUAUUCAAAAUGAUAGCCAUAGAUGUUUGUGGUUACAAAGUAUAUUCUUCCAAUUGUUCCUAUACCUUUUCAUUUACAGGUCAACUGCAGGAGCUUCUUAUUCAUCACUGCAAUCAAGUUGAAAUUGCAAAAUGUUUCGCUGACGUAUCAAAAGCUAUGUGGUAUGGCCAACACCAUGCAUUCCCUCCGAUGACGUCAAGGCAUACUGUUAACUUGCAUAGAAAAGCAUAGGUUUUUAACUUAUCUAUGAAUAUAUAUCAAAUAUUUUUGUUUGGUUGUAAGUUGGCCACAGUUUUCAGAAUACCAGCAACAAGAUCCACAGGAACUACCCACCUUUCUUCUUGACAGCUUGUGCGCAAAGAUUUGAAUCGUAUUGGAAGAAGUCCUCCAUGAAGCUCAAAGACGCCGAUGAAAGCAGUAGCAUAUUGUUUCCU